UUGGCCUCGUUCCUAGUGAAAUAAAUAGCUAUUGCUAUUGCUUAAGAUAUUUUAUCCUUCUUGAUUUUUUUUCCCUGUGAAAGAACUUGCAAAUACCAAUAAAAGUGCAAGAGCUAAAUGACUAGUUGCUUUCCAGUUUCCAUUAUUCAUAUUUUUUCCUUUAUAAGGUUUGAAGCUGCCUUUUGAUGUGUUUUUUUCUUUCAUUUCUUGUAGUAAUUAGCCUCAUGCCAUAAAAGAAUAUGCUUUGUGGUUUGGUGAUCUUAAUGACUUGAAGAUUCUACCAGAUGCAGGCCAAGAUCUUUAUAUUAGAAUUCCUGCUUCAGAGUUAGAGACAAAAAAUGGAUGCAAGGGCAAGAUACGAAUUGCAGUUUGGGUCACAAUUGGCGUAUUAUGUGGCAUGCUCUUCGUUUCAUGUUUGAUAUGGAAUGGACGAAAAAGGCCACUCUGAAAGCAUUGUUGGAAAUUCCCUUGUUUGUGCAACUGGAAAAGAACCAAACUGCUGUGGCAUGAGUCAAUGUCCAUGAACUUAAAUGGCACUGAAGUUCUCGGUUUCGGCCUUGUUCUUUGGUGGAAGUACAAGCACAAUCAACAAGCAUUUUUUGAUGUUAAAGCUAGGAGUCUGUUACUUAUCCACUGACUUCCCUCACGCCCACUUCUUAAGGGUUGAAGUGGAAGAACAACCAGAGAUAUCCGAGGCUUAUUCCGUCUCUGCUGUCCCGUUCUUUGUCUUCUUCAAGCACUAGUCACAUGUUAAUGCAGCUGAUUUGUGAUCUGAAGCCCUUGAAAAUGAGUUCGAACAACAUGCAUCUCUGAGGUU